rnacentral:rRNA from 2 species
AGUAGGGAAUCUUCCGCAAUGGACGAAAGUCUGACGGAGCAACGCCGCGUGAGCGAUGAAGGCCUUCGGGUCGUAAAGCUCUGUUGUUAGGGAAGAACAAGUAUCGGAGUAACUGCCGGUACCUUGACGGUACCUAACCAGAAAGCCACGGCUAACUACGUGCCAGCAGCCGCGGUAAUACGUAGGUGGCAAGCGUUGUCCGGAAUUAUUGGGCGUAAAGCGCGCGCAGGCGGUCCUUUAAGUCUGAUGUGAAAGCCCACGGCUCAACCGUGGAGGGUCAUUGGAAACUGGGGGACUUGAGUGCAGAAGAGGAAAGCGGAAUUCCACGUGUAGCGGUGAAAUGCGUAGAGAUGUGGAGGAACACCAGUGGCGAAGGCGGCUUUCUGGUCUGUAACUGACGCUGAGGCGCGAAAGCGUGGGGAGCAAACAGGAUUAGAUACCCUGGUAGUCCACGCCGUAAACGAUGAGUGCUAAGUGUUAGAGGGUUUCCGCCCUUUAGUGCUGCAGCUAACGCAUUAAGCACUCCGCCUGGGGAGUACCGCCGCAAGGCUGAAACUCAAAG